GUAAAAUUUUAAUGUCUGGAUUUAUUUUUCUUCCUCAAAAGUGGAGGACAAGACAAAAAUUUGAGAAAUUCCACGGUCUCCCUUCCCCGUAUGAAGAAAAUGACCUGACCCUUUAUUAACAUCUUUGAUUUCUUUGUCUCACCUAUCCACUUAUUAGGAAAAGAAAUUUAAAUUGAAGGAAGAUUUAUAAUAUGUAACCCCUCAACUGGGAUUUGUUAUUUUUUGUUUAGUGUUUGUAUUUAAAGAUGUCA
rnacentral:lncRNA from 1 species